UGAAAACGGACCUGAUGUGAUGAUGACAUCACGAAGGGAUGAGCCUUGCUUUAAGUAACAAUAGCAGUGAUGAUGAUAGCCAGACUGAUGUACCAGAAGGUGACCCCACACUACUUGCUGAAGACGCAGCCUUAGACAAAGCAGCAGGGAUGUCUGACCACAUCAAAAUGCCCGCAAAACCAAUUCAUUGCAGGUGUAAGCUGGAUAAUGGGAAUCCCUGCAUUCAGCAAUUCACUGAAGAGGAGACUGAUAGUAUCAGUUUGAAUGUACUCGAGAUGAAAAGCUACAAGAAAGACCUAUUUUUGUUAGGCAUCAUAUGUGCAAUCACCAACAACGUAGAAAUCAAAACGGGUUAACUGAGAACGCCAGUUGUCCAGGAUUCAUUACUUCAGCUACAAGCACAGAAGGAUCUGCCGGGACACCUUCCUGCAUCUGAUGACCAUAUCACGGGACAAACUCACCAAUCUGAAAAGAUGGUACCUGACUCAUGGAAUCUGCCCAUGUAAGAAGAAAUCAGACAUUUUAAAUUUAUCUAAUUUGCAUGAUUGAAAACCGAAAAUGUACACAUGUAGGCACAUUAUGGGAGUUUACACACACCUACAAAUCUUGCAAAGUCUGUUGAAAUUAAUUUGUGCGGCGGUCGCCGUCAAAUGUCUUUGAGCAUCACCGACAUUCAGAGGGUUUCCAGGUUCAUCCUAAAUUUCACUGAACAGCACAGCAUCAUUCUUUCAGGAAGAAUUCCUGGCUUCAAAAGAGAUGACAUCAAAGUGUUGCCUAUCUCAGAAACGAAGGCAUCUGUGUGGCAUUGCUACAGGAAAGCCUCCACACCCAACGACCGAAUAGUUGGCAUUUCCACUUUUAGUAAGUUGUGGCGUGAGCUUUUGCCCUACAAUGUGAUCUGCAAGCCUAUGUCAGAUUUGUGUUGGACCUGCCAACGGAACAACCACCUCAUUUUCGGCAAAUCAAUGUUGCAGAAAAGCGGAAGACAGAGGUUCUCUGUACUCACGAGGCACACGACAAUCAAUUUUUACCAUUGAUUAAUAGCGUGAUUGGCUGAAUGCUUAGCACAGUGUUCUACAGGAAAAUCCCUUAGUUAUAUACAACAGCUAUUUCAUUUACAAAUUAUAUUCUUGCUUUUAUUUCUAAUGAAGUUAUUUUAGGGCUGACUGUAUAAAACAACAUUAGUAACAAAAACUGCUGUUUAAAAAAUGCUAUUUGAUAUUGGUAUUUGUAUACCUACACAGACUUUUUAUAAGACAUAAGUUUAGUGAGUUUCUGAGUGAAUAAGAGAGGAUUUGUUUAUUUCAACUACAUCAUUCACAGAGUUCAAUUCUUGAAAGAUAGUCAAGUUUGUUUGAAUGACCUUAUUUCCAAAAGAUGCUUUUUUUUUAAACAAGAAGGCUUUUAUCAAAGAGACUAAUUUGGUGGUUCAGUUGGCUUCAAAAUGCGAGGCUGCAUGGAAGUUCGAGUGACCAAUCAGGACUGGCGUCACUGACAGUGAACAUAUCUUGAUUAAAGAAUGUUUCUGUUCAUGUUUACUUCAACCAUGAUUAGCGUAAUACGGGAGAUGGGGUUCAAGUAUUUUCGUAACAAAGUAAUCCAAACAAUUCAUUUAACUUUGGUGAAAAUCAAUUUAAAAAAUUUCAUUUUUUCAAUAUAUCCUUGUUUUUAUGUAUUUUUUCUUCCAUAGUGUUUCCUUCAGUUACAUUUUCUACUUGCUAGCUCUUGCACUAAUUUCAAAAACCUGUUAGAAUGUCCAAAUGUCCAGUGUACAUUCUGAGUACUCUAUAUCUAACAAAAUCAACAUUGUUAUAUGAUCAAUAUUCAUUAUAAUAUGAUCAUUAAUACAUGUAUUAUAAAGGCGCAGGAUUCAUGACUACCUCUUUAACUUGACCUUGUAUGGAUGAGUAGCUCUGUAAAAUUCCUGAACUAGCACCAGCCAGAUGUUUAUAACCUUCGCAAAUGGUUUGCAAAGUAUUUCUGAGGUCAGGUCUAAUGGUUGCAGCUCCACUAGUUAUUGUGGGAGAUAAAAUGGCACACUAGAGUUGAUCUUUAGAAUGGUACUACGAAAAUAUGCAUGCUGUAGGUAGAUGCUAUUUGGGUAACAUGAAUGCUGUAGACAACAGGAUUUUUAACAUAUUUUGAUGACAGCAACCACAGU